UAGGGAAUAUUGGACAAUGGGGGCAACCCUGAUCCAGCCAUGCCGCGUGAGUGAAGAAGGCCCUCGGGUUGUAAAGCUCUUUUGUCCGGAAAGAAAGGCAUUCGGUGAAUACCCGGAUGUUCUGACGGUACCGGAAGAAUAAGCACCGGCUAACUUCGUGCCAGCAGCCGCGGUAAUACGAAGGGUGCAAGCGUUACUCGGAAUUACUGGGCGUAAAGCGUGCGUAGGUGGUUGUUUAAGUCUGAUGUGAAAGCCCUGGGCUCAACCUGGGUAUGGCAUGGGAAACUGGGCAGCUAGAGUGGGGUAAAGGGUAGUGGAAUUCCCGGUGUAGAAGUGAAAUGCGUAGAGAUCGGGAGGAACAUCUGUGGCGAAGGCGACUGCCUGGGCCAGAACUGACACUGAGGCACGAAAGCGUGGGGAGCAAACA
rnacentral:rRNA from 1 species